rfam:Candidatus Accumulibacter sp. SK-12 contig000021, whole genome shotgun sequence.
UCCUGUCAAUGGCAAACGGAGGGAAACCUCCGGACGCAAAGCCACGGACCCUACCCCGAGUUGCCUCAUCGGCUCGGAAGGGUGGCCGGGUUGCCCGA